rnacentral:rRNA from 1 species
CCUACGGGAGGCAGCAGUAGGGAAUCUUCCACAAUGGACGAAAGUCUGAUGGAGCAACGCCGCGUGUGUGAUGAAGGGUUUCGGCUCGUAAAACACUGUUGUAAGAGAAGAAUGACAUUGAGAGUAACUGUUCAGUGUGUGACGGUAUCUUACCAGAAAGGAACGGCUAAAUACGUGCCAGCAGCCGCUGUAAUACGUAUGUUCCAAGCGUUAUCCGGAUUUAUUCGGCGUAAAGCGAGCGCAGACGGUUAUUUUAUAUCCAAGUGAAAGCCCACAGCUUAACUGUGAGAGUGGUUUGGAAUCUGGAUAACAUGAUUGUAAUAGAGGAGGAUAGAAAUGCGUGUGUAGCGGUGAAAUGCGUAGAUAUAGGGAAGGACACCAGUGGCGAAGGCGGCUCUCUGGACUGUAACUGACGUUGAGGCUCGAAAGUGUGGGUAGCAAACAGGAUUAGAUACCCGUGUAGUC